UGUGAAGUAUUACAGUAUGUCUGACAUUGUGCAUCACACUACAGUGCAGGUGUAUGUCAUUAUAUAACUGACAGACCGCAGCCCCAGCAACUGCUCAAGAGCUCAGGAGCAGGUCACAUGACCAGUCAGGUGGUUAGGCCAGUGACAGUUGGGAGAGGUUGUUGAUGGAGAGCUCGCUGAGGGGACGGAGAGAGGUGCGCUGGUGCUGCGUACUCAGUUCGGCAUUAACAGCUGUGGUAACCGCUCCGUACCUGCAUCUGAUGGCAAAGUUAAGCUGAAUUACCCCGAACAGACUCCGGUGUGUCCCGCUGAGCUUGGAGAGUAAGUCCGGUGUGGAGAUCCUUAUCCGCGCUCCAGAGAAGAUGUCAUCUCUGACGCUGAUGACGGGGGCGGUAGCGGAUCCCUCCCUCUGACUGCCUGCUGUAAGAUACUUCUAGCAGGGACGCCUUCAGGAAAGUGUCUUGGAGGUGACUGACAUUCAUAGAUGGGGACUCUGCCCGACAUGGUAUGCAUAAAAGUUCGGAGUUAAGAUUUCUAAUCCGCUUAAGAAGGAAGACCCAGAGACGACAGGUUCCGGCCUAAUCAAACAUUCUGUUUAUUGUGUAGGCAAUUGUUUCUGUGUAUUGUGAAAAGCAAACCAAUUUGUGAAAUUGACAUUUGUUGUAAUUCUUGUUGAAAGAGAAGGGCAUCUUUGAACCAUAUUAAUAAAUAAAGUGAGUUGUUGACGAAAA